AUACGUAGGGAGCGAGCGUUAUCCGGAUUCAUUGGGCGUAAAGCGCGCGUAGGCGGCUCGGGAAGCGGAACCUCUAACCUUGGGGCUCAACCUCAAGCCGGGUUCCGAACUCCCGGGCUCGUGUCAGGUAGGGGCAGGCGGAAUUCCCGGUGUAGCGGGGAAAUGCGCAGAUAUCGGGAGGAAAACCGAUGGCGAAGGCAGCCUGCUGGGCCUAGAGACUGACGCUGAGGUGCGAAAGCGUGGGGAGCGAACAGGAUUAGAUACCCUGGUAGUCCACGCCGUAAACGAUGGGCGCUAGGUGUGGGGGAGCGUAUCCCCCGUGCCGCAGCUAACGCAUUAAGCGCCCCGCCUGGGGAGUACGGCCGCAAGGCUAAAACUCAAAUGAAUGGGCGGGG
rnacentral:rRNA from 1 species